rnacentral:misc_RNA from 1 species
AUUUAUCCACCACUCGUUCCCUCAUUCUGAAGAAGUGUGCGGCCCCGGCUACAGUAUAUAGCUUUGUCUUCUGCUCCAUCCACUACCCAUUCCCUCAUUUGUCGUCCUCUGGCAGAAAAUCACUCAACUAUCUUUCCAUGGAUUCAACCCUGCCAAAAGUUGUCAAAGAUCUCUCUCCCAUACUCAAGAUAUACGAAGAUGGGCGUGUUGAGAGGCUCUUGGGCAAUGAUAUCGUCCCUCCUUCUCUUGAUCCAGAGAUCAAUGUCCAAUCCAAAGAUGUUGUCUACUUCCAAGAAGCUAAUCUUUCUUCAAGACUUUACCUACCAAAAUCAAGCGACCCAUCAGACCAAAAACUCCCUUUGC